AUUGAACGCUGGCGGCAGGCCUAACACAUGCAAGUCGAGCGAGCGGCGGACGGGUGAGUAAUGUCUGGGAAACUGCCUGAUGUAGGGGGAUAACUACUGGAAACGGUAGCUAAUACCGCAUACCAUCAGAUGUGCCCAGAUGGGAUGAGCGAGUAGGUGGGGUAACGGCUCACCUAGGCGACAAUCCCUAGCUGGUCUGAGAGGAUUACCAGCCACACUGGAACUGAGACACGGUCCAGACUCCUACGGGCGGCAGCAGUGGGGAAUAUGGCACAAUGGGCGCAAGCCUGAUGCAGCCAUGCCGCGUGUGUGAAGAAGGCCUUCGGGUUGUAAAGCACUUUCAGCGGGGAGGCGUUACCCGCAGAAGAAGCACCGGCUAACUCCGUGCCAGCAGCCGCGGUAAUAC
rnacentral:rRNA from 1 species